UGAGGAGAGAAGGGAGGGAACAGCCGCGGGGCCGCGGGAGCCCCGCGUGCGGCGAGCAGGCUCCGCCGCGGAGGCUUCCAGAGACAAAGGCCCGGAGGCCCGCGGAGGAGGCUUCUCUCACUUCUGAUGGAUGCCCCCAGAGGAACACGAGGCCCUCUCCCUAAGCGCUCAGGAUGGGGACAAUUUCCAGGGAUGCGGCAGAACAGCAGAGUCUUGCACUACCCUGCAACCUGUCCUCCCGCGGUCCAUUCUGGGAGAAGCCUCAAGGGUCUAAAGACAAGGAGACACACUCGUGGACGUCACGGAACUUGCUCAACAUGAGGAAUGAUGUCAAAACGAUGGAACAGUGACUCUGUGCCAUGCACUGUGCCAAGUCCCACAGAUAGGUCAUCUCAUUCAAACGUCAAAGCAACCCAAUGCAGAGGGAGUAUUUUAAUUUCCCUUUUAUCAAUAAUGAAAAUGUCUCAGAGAGAUGAGUAGACAGCACCCAAGUUCAGAUCCCUGGUAAGCAUCAGGGCCAGAGGUAAAACCAAGUCUCCUGAUUCUAAAACCGUUACAGCAAAGAUGAUAAACUGCCUCCAGGGAAGCAAUAAGACAGAAUCAUUAUAACAAAGCAGUGUAUGUGCAACCAGAAAGGGAGGUGAGGGCAUGAUGCGGCCCUCAGUAACCGUGGAAUCUAAAUGGGGUUUUGAGGGAUGAAUAGGAGUUCUCCAAAGGGACAAGUGGGAGAAGAGUGUUCCAGGCAGAGGGAACAUGUACAAAUGCACAGAGGUGAUAAGCUGCCUGGUGCCUUCAAAGACCAUGAGCUGGAUGCUGGAAAAUGGGGAAGGGAGGAGGUCAGAUCUAAGCCAAGCUAAGCCCCUUGGUACUUAU
ensembl:lncRNA